rnacentral:tRNA from 2 species
CGGGGCGUGGCGCAGCCCGGCUAGCGCGCACCGUUCGGGUCGGUGAGGUCGGAGGUUCAAAUCCUCUCGCCCCGACAA